AGCCCAGCAGCAGGAGGAGCACAUCACCAGGUUACACAAACUGCCAAAUUUGAUUUAGUUUCAUUAGUAGAAAAAUUGUCACAACCAACAAUGCAAGUUUUAUGGAACGAUACUGAUUCACAUCACAUAGAAGUGUUUUCCCCCCUUGCUCCAUCUUUUCCUUCAUUCUUCUCUCAGGAAGCUGUUAAAGCAGUGGGAGGAGCUGCAGCAGCAGGUGCGCUCCCUGAGGCUGAAGGAGGGGUCUCUGACCAGGACAAAUGCAGAGCUCAGUCACUGUGCCCAGCAGCUGGACACUCGUCUAUCCACCCUAGAGGCUGAGCUUAACAAGACCAAAGAGGAGGCGAGAGACAGCCAGACGUCAAGCCACGGACUGAAGGAGGAACUGGCAGCCAGUCAGCAGGAAUAUGACAGACUACAGGCCGAGCUGCAGCAGGUUCACCUCCAACUGGACAAACACAUCAGGAAGUACAAUGAAAAGAAGAGUCGGCACAAGACCAAGCUGCGUCAGGUUAAGCAGGCCUUUCAUAAAGCUACUACACAAAGGGACAGCACCA